GAUGAACGCUGGCGGCGUGCCUAAUACAUGCAAGUCGAGCGAACGGACGAGAAGCUUGCUUCUCUGAUGUUAGCGGCGGACGGGUGAGUAACACGUGGAUAACCUACCUAUAAGACUGGUAUAACUUCGGAAAACCGGAGCUAAUACCGGAUAAUAUUUUGAACCGCAUGGUUCAAAAGUAAAAGACGGUCUUGCGGUCACUUAUAGAUGGAUCCGCGCUGCAUUAGCUGGUUGGUAAGGUAACGGCUUACCAAGGCAACGAUGCAUAGCCGACCUGAAAGGGUGAUCGGCCACACUGGAACUGAGACACGGUCCAGACUACUACGGGAGGCAGCAGUAGGGAAUCUUCCGCAAUGGGCGAAAGCCUGACGGAGCAACGCCGAGUGAGUGAUGAAGGUCUUCGGAUCGUAAAACUCUGUUAUUAGGGAAGAACAUAUGUGUAAGUAACUGUGCACAUCUUGACGGUACCUAAUCAGAAAGCCACGGCUAACUACGUG
rnacentral:rRNA from 1 species